AGCGAACGCUGGCGGCAGGCCUAACACAUGCAAGUCGAGCGCCCGUAGCAAUACGGGAGCGGCAGACGGGUGAGUAACACGUGGGAACGUACCCUUCGGUUCGGAAUAACCCAGGGAAACUUGGAUUAAUACCGGAUACGUCCGUAAGGAGAAAGAUUUAUCGCCGAAGGAUCGGCCCGCGUCCGAUUAGCUUGUUGGUGGGGUAAUGGCCCACCAAGGCUACGAUCGGUAGCUGGUCUGAGAGGAUGAUCAGCCACACUGGGACUGAGACACAGCCCAGAGUCCUACGGGAGGAAGCAGUGGGGAAUAUGGGACAAUGGGCGCAAGCCUGGUCCCGCCAUGCCGCGUGGGUGAUGAAGGCCCUAGGGUUGUAAAGCCCUUUCGGCGGGGAAGAUAAUGACGGUACCCGCAAAAGAAGCCCCGGCUAGCUUCGUGCCAGCAGCCGCCGGAAAAC
rnacentral:rRNA from 1 species